rnacentral:rRNA from 1 species
AGUGAACGCUGGCGGUAGGCCUAACACAUGCAAGUCGAACGGCAGCACAGUAAGAGCCUGCUCUUACGGGUGGCGAGUGGCGGACGGGUGAGGAAUACAUCGGAAUCUACUUUUUCGUGGGGGAUAACGUAGGGAAACUUACGCUAAUACCGCAUACGACCUACGGGUGAAAGCAGGGGAUCUUCGGACCUUGCGCGAUUGAAUGAGCCGAUGUCGGAUUAGCUAGUUGGCGGGGUAAAGGCCCACCAAGGCGACGAUCCGUAGCUAGUCUGAGAGGAUGAUCAGCCACACUGGAACUGAGACACGGUCCAGACUCCUACGGGAGGCAGCAGUGGGGAAUAUUGGACAAUGGGCGCAAGCCUGAUCCAGCCAUACCGCGUGGGUGAAGAAGGCCUUCGGGUUGUAAAGCCCUUUUGUUGGGAAAGAAAAGCAGCAGGUUAAUACCCCGCUGUUCUGACGGUACCCAAAGAAUAAGCACCGGCUAACUUCGUG